AAUAAGAUGGCCGAAAUUUAAGCAGUAAACUGUAAAUUUAUACAUGAGCAUUAAACUCUCUUAUUA
rnacentral:tRNA from 1 species